rnacentral:lncRNA from 1 species
AUAAUAUUUAUUUUUUAUGCAAAUACAGUCGUGGUUUUUUAUGUUUACAGGGUGUAUUAAAAAUUUUUACAAACAAAAUAAGACAAUAUAUAAAACAAAUGGAUAAACAAAAGUAUUUUUAUUUAAAAAUAGAUAAUAUAGAAAAAUGUUUUUAUAUUUUAAAAAAUUUAUAUUUGUUUGUUAUGUCAGGCAAUAUCAAGUAUACUAGUACAAUAUAUGAAGAUAUUUUUGAUGUUUUGUUGCGAAUAGUAGAGUUGCACGUAUAUAAUAAUCUUCCUACUAAUACUACCACUACUGUAGGAACAACCAUUAAUAGUAGUAGUGCACAUGUAGAAAAUUACACUAACAUAAUUGGUAGUACUAACGCAUAUGAACUAAUUUCUAAAAAAAUGCUAUGCCUAACGUUACAUUUUAUUAAUAAUAUAUAUGUAAUCAUAUUUAAUAAUAAAGACGAAAGAAAUGAUUCUGUGAUGAAGAAAAACAAAUUCUACCAAUUGGUGGAAAAACUGUUUUACAUUUUUGUUAUUAAACUGAAAAAAAAUGCAAAAGUCUUACUUAAGUUGAGUGGAAAGGAAGUUCGAAUGGGUAGUAAGUAUAGGAAGCACAAAAACAUGUACAAUCGCAAAAGUAAAAACGAAUUAAAAACGUAUCUUCUCCAUUUAAACAUAAUAUGUGAAUUAUUUGAGCUAGUCAUAAAAGGAGUCUACUUAAACGAAAAGGCGGUAAACAUAAUAAUUAUGAACAUAUGUUAUGACUCUAAUAUAUGUAGCAUAUUUUAUCACAUUGAUUAUUACCAUUUAAAUAAUAUGAUAAAUAAAUAUUUCUAUUACUAUAAAAAAAAAAAAAACAACGUUAAAAAAAUAAAUAAAAUUUUAAAAAUAAAUAAAAACGUAUCAAACGAAAGUUGUAUGUAUAUAAAUGAUAACAUUUUGAUAAACAACAUGUUACAAGUAUUGGCAGAACAAGAUAUUAAAUAUGAAUAUGUUUUAAAUGUAGGUUAUGGCAGCAGUGGCAUCAGUGGCAUCAGUGGCAUCAGUGGCAUCAGUGGCAUCAGUGGCAUCAGUGGUAGUAGAAAGAACAAACAAGUGAAAAAUGUACUAACAGAAAGCAUAUUCGACGAACGUGAAAACGCAUUUAUACUUAAAAAUAUAAUUCAAAAAAAAAUAAAUAUCUUAGAUGACAAUAUAAAUGACUAUGUGAGCAAUAAAUUGUUUGAAAACAAAGGGAAAAUUUAUGGAACUCAAAACUUUUUGUUUGAUAUAAAAAAUUAUAAGAACUGUGUAAGAGGACUUACAUAUGCAAAUAUUACUCAUUUGGACAAUGUAGAAAAAGAUACAUACAAUGUAAUCAAUUCGAAAAAUGCCGAUGUCGUCAGAUAUGCAUACAAUGCCAGUGUUGCGACUUACAGAAAUGAAAACAUGAUGUACAAUAAAUAUAUAAGCAUCAUUCAUAAUAACAGCAGAGAUAACAAAAAAUCUAUUUUAAAUGAUUUAACACGUGAGGACGGGUUGGUGUGGAAAAAUAAAAAUAUGUUUUCUUAUAUAAAUCAGGAUGAUAUAAAAAAGCAGAAAGAAUAUCGUUUAUUAAAAAAAAAAAUUAAUUCGGGUGUUACAAAAAAUGAGAAUAAUAUAUAUAGUUCUAAAAAAAAAGGGAACACUCCUAACGAUGUGAUGGUUCACUCAUCAAAUUUGUUAGAGAGUACACAUGUUGCCCAUCAGAGUGAUUAUAAUAACCAAUUAGUAGUAGGAACAAAUAUAAAUCAGUGUAUGCAGAACUUUACAAACGUUAACAAUGUAAAAACCGGAGGAAGUAGCAACUUGACCUGUGUAGUACCACCUGUUUCAUGUUGUAACUACUACGACGUUACUUGUUCCGAAAUAGAAAGUGAAAAACAAGAAGAAAGGGUAAAAAAGGAAAAGGAAAAAGAGAAAGCAGAAAAAGCAAGCUACGAUUACAGCUAUAACACCUACAGCAGCCACAACAUCUACAGCAGCCACAACACCUGUGGCAAUAACAACGGCUUUUUUUUUCAAAACUACUUUAAAAACGAAGUAGAAUGCAUGAAAUAUAUAAAUCUAACGCAAAGUGUUUAUGAUAGUAAAAUCAGAUUGUUGUUAGUUUUAUAUAAACUUAUAAUUAUGCUGAAAUAUCAAAAAUUAUUAACAAGCGAAACAUAUAUAAAAGAAGAACAAACAUUUUUAAAUUUACAUAACAUAAAAAAAAAAACACCUUUUCUUUUUUUUAUACAUGAGUCUAUGAUUUCUCUUAUUACAAAACCCAAGCAAAUAAAAGAAAACUCAAUUUAUUAUAUAAUUGUUGUUACCACUUUGAUUAAUAUGCUUUCAUUUGAUAUAGCAUACCA